rnacentral:rRNA from 1 species
CCGUAGGUGAACCUGCGGAAGGAUCAUUACCGAGUGCGGGCCCCUCGGGGCCCAACCUCCCACCCGUGUUGCCCGAACCUAUGUUGCCUCGGCGGGCCCCGCGCCCGCCGACGGCCCCCCUGAACGCUGUCUGAAGUUGCAGUCUGAGACCUAUAACGAAAUUAGUUAAAACUUUCAACAACGGAUCUCUUGGUUCCGGCAUCGAUGAAGAACGCAGCGAAAUGCGAUAACUAAUGUGAAUUGCAGAAUUCAGUGAAUCAUCGAGUCUUUGAACGCACAUUGCGCCCUCUGGUAUUCCGGAGGGCAUGCCUGUCCGAGCGUCAUUGCUGCCCUCAAGCCCGGCUUGUGUGUUGGGCCCCGUCCCCCCCGCCGGGGGGACGGGCCCGAAAGGCAGCGGCGGCACCGCGUCCGGUCCUCGAGCGUAUGGGGCUUCGUCACCCGCUCUAGUAGGCCCGGCCGGCGCCAGCCGACCCCCAACCUUUAAUUAUCUCAGGUUGACCUCGGAUCAGGUAGGGAUACCCGCUGAACUUAAGCAUAUCAAUAAGCGGAGGA